UUUAAUUAACCAAAUUAGUUAUUUUAAUGAAAAUAUGCGAUAAUGUCGAUUUACAAAGUUGAAUCGAAUCAGUCACAAAAUAUGCUCAAGAACCGGUUUGCACGAAACGACAACAUAAUUAAUGUCGUUCGUAAGAUCACAACACGGUAAAAUAUUCCAUUAAUGUAUCGAAGAUUUGAUGGAUAACAUACAGAUGCCAAAUCCAUGGGUUUAAUCUCCGAUUUAUUCACAAUAAAAUUAAAUAUUGGUAAUACAAAUUUUUUAUCAUAUUAUUUAUUUACAAAUUUAUUUAUAAUAUUGUUUACUAUUUAUCAUAUAUAAGAAAACUCAAAAGUGCAUGAAUGUAAUAUGUAAAGUAAAUAAAGUUGGAACAGUACACACCGCAUCCGCCGCUUAUCACCACGAGACGUUUCCAAGCAUUGUUAUUUUGCCAUUACUACUUUAACAUUUUAGUAAUGAUUAUUAAGAACAGGAUUAACAUAUAACCCACCCUGUUAUAACAACUAACCUAAAUUGCUUCCAUAAGAAAACAAAACUUAUUCAAAAUCCAUAAAUUUCUACAAAGCAUACAAAAUCCUAUAUGGGAGGUUAUGGAAUAAAACCAGUCACGUUCUGCUAGCAUCAAUAGCAAGAAAAAUUCAUGGCGGUAACCUCAGAACACAACAUCGCCAUAUGAAAUAAAAUAUAAUAUGAUCAAUAAAACGCCGCGCCCUCUAAACAUGAUUAAAUGACAGUUUCAAACGUUCAUCAUGCAAUAUCCAACUUCGACGCCACAGUCAAUUAGCAGUAGCACGAUACAUGCCAUAUCAUUACAAACUUUCAAACACAGGAAACAUAUUUUAAAAUCUAAACAUAAUGCAAUGAACUCAAAUCACACAAUAGCAGGGAUGUAAUGUAAACUAAGACCAAUCAACGCUUUCUGAUAACAAUCCAACACAUAUGUGGAAGAAAAUUGGCAACAAUCGCAGUAGAAAAUAAUCGCGGCAACCCCGCCAUUCAACCAAUACCGAAAUACACGAUGAAUGAGCAAUAUAAUCCAAUUAUUUAUGUAUAAAAAACUUAACAUUGAACAAUAUGGUAAUCGAUUCGUUACCGUCGGCGACUGUUAUCGUGUUGUGUUGAACUCGCUAUUGCUGUGUGUCAGUCAAUGCUUCGUGGCUGCUCCGUGUUCCGUUUACACCGUCACGUAUCGCGAUCUCGAACUGAAUAAAAACCCCUUCGCAACACUUUCUACUAAAAAAUGGGAGACGUGAGGCCGUCGUUAUUGGUUGAGGAGGGUUGGGUUUGUGGAUUCGGACGGUUAAGCUUCAUAGGAAGAUGACGGCGGCGCGAUGACUCGGCGACGCUCAGAAAUCAUGGUGGCGUGGAAGGAGACGCGGCGAGGGAUUGUUUGAAGGCUUUGAGCGCUCACCGACGUGUGGUAUGGUGGUUCGAUUUGUGAAAAAUGGUGGUUGUGAGUUGCGAAGGUGACGGAGGUGGAGAAGGAGAUGAUUUGGGGGCGACGACGAAGUGAAGAAGUUUUGUCACCGGUGAAGGUGGUUUAUAGUUUGCGGUGAUGGAUGAGGAAGGAAGGGAUCGAAGAUGGUAUGGUCUGUUAUUGAGGCGAUGGGAGGAAGGAGCGUGAAGAGGGAAGGUGGAUUUUGUGAUGGAAACACAUGUGUGGAAGAAGAAGCAAUCCGUUACAGUGAAAUGUGUUUUUCUUUAUUUCUUUUUUUUGUCGUUAUAUUGUGAGAGAGUUUUUUUCUCCUCUGUGUUGUGAGUUGUGUGUGUUAUUAAAUAAGGGGAUAGAGAAAGAUUUUAAGUAUGGUCAACGUGAAUGACAAGGUGAUAGGUGGCGUGUAGGUGAGGGACGUGUGUAAUAAGGGGAUAGAGAAAGAUUUUAAGUAUGGUCAACGUGAAUGACAAGGUGAUAGGUGGCGUGUAGGUGAGGGACGUGUGGGAAACGUGAGGUAGUUUGAUAGGUGGCGUGCAGAGUGAGGGAAACAUGAGAGAGUGAAGGAUAUCUGUGUGAGAGGAUUUUUGUGGAUCGGAGAGAGAGCCUCAAGAUUUUCUCUAUUAUUUCUUUAUUUUAUUUUAUUAUUAAUUAAUUCAAUUUUUAAUAGAUGAAUAGCAACGCACAUGGUGUGUCAAUAUUGACAACUGAUUAAUU
rnacentral:lncRNA from 1 species